rnacentral:rRNA from 1 species
UCGAGCGGUAGCACAGGGAGCUUGCUCCUGGGUGACGAGCGGCGGACGGGUGAGUAAUGUCUGGGAAACUGCCUGAUGGAGGGGGAUAACUACUGGAAACGGUAGCUAAUACCGCAUAACGUCUACGGACCAAAGUGGGGGACCUUCGGGCCUCAUGCCAUCACAUGUGCCCACAUGGGAUUAUCUAUUAGGUGGGGUAAUGGCUCACCUAGGCGACAAUCCCUAUCUGGUCUGAGAGGAUGACCACCCACACUGGAACUGAGACACGGUCCAGACUCCUACGGGAGGCAGCAGUGGGGAAUAUUGCACAAUGGGCGCAAGCCUGAUGCAGCCAUGCCGCGUGUGUGAAAAAAGCCUUCGGGUUGUAAAGCACUUUCACCGAGGAGGAAGGGUACAGUGUUAAUAGCACUUUUCAUUGACGUUACUCGCAGAAAAAACACCGGCUAACUCCGUGCCACCAGCCGCGGUAAUACGGAGGGUGCAAGCGUUAAUCGGAAUUACUGGGCGUAAAGCGCACGCAGGCGGUUUGUUAAGUCACAUGUGAAAUCCCCGCGCUUAACGUGGGAACUGCAUUUGAAACUGGCAAGCUAUAGUCUUGUAUAGGGGGGUAGAAUUCCAGGUGUAGCGGUGAAAUGCGUAUAGAUCUGGAGGAAUACCGGUGGCGAAAGCGGCCCCCUGGACAAAGACUGACGCUCACGUGCGAAAGCGUGUGGAGCAAACAGGAUUAUAUACCCCUGUGUAGUCCACGCUGUAUACGAUGUCGACUUUGUGAGGUUGUGCCCC